CAGGCGCUCGCUCGCUCGCCCGGCGGUGCCGGGGCACAGACAGAGGAGCCGGGGGAGAGCCGGGUGUGUUUUAAGGGUGCUGCUCCCACCCCCAACCGUCCUCUGCGGGCAGAGCCUCUGCUCACACCUGAGGGAACAGGGAGGUUAUUAGGUUGGUCACACAUUAACCAACCGGCUGGUGGCUACACCAAGGACUCCGCUCCGGUCCUUCCGAGGUCAGAGUGCGAGCGGGCUCAUGAAAACUCAGUGGGCGCCUGCUGUGCCCUCAGAGCCCAGCUGGAGCCGGGAAGGAGCAGGUGGGACGCGUGGCCUGUACCCCGCAGGUCUAAGACACCGGUUCCAGAACCAGGAGGGUGGAAGAUUUCUUAGGUCCCUACGACCCACGAAGGACGGCGGUCACGACCAAGGCUGAUCGUGUGAUGACGACUGAUGCUGGUUUUAACCCACACGCACAAAGAUAAGCACGGACAAAUAAAUGGGGCGUAAGAUAAA